UCAUGUCAAAGAGGUGCAGGCUGGGAUUAAUCCUGUCCCAUUUUAUAAACUGUCAAAUUCCAAAAAAACUAACAAAAAAUAGAGUCGACUCGCAGCUGCACUAUGUGAAGGAGCUGAAAGGAGAUGGAGGUGAAAGGUAAACGCUAAGAAAAGCUGUUUCCAUGGCACCAAGGAGUAUGAUUUGUUUAUUUCCAGCCUCCGUCUUCAGUUUUGGAUAAAAGAUUAUAAUCUUAAGCGUCUUUGGAAGAUUCGUCAUUCCUCUCUAAAAGCAGUAAAUCCGCCUGUGCUCGAAUCUACAAAACUUGAGAAAAACAUCUUCGGUUUGCUUCCUGUCUUUGUUGUUUAUCGCCUCUGAGUACACCAUGGUCCAUUUCUAUCUCUGAGCUUAUGUCUGUUUUUCAUUCCUUUCCCUGUAAGGCUGGACAGAUCUGACGAGGAGUUCAACAGGAGGCAGGCUGCGCUAACUUCGCAGGGCUCGCAGGGGUCAAAAACUGUGCGCACUCCCCACACUCCAAGGCACCACAAUGACUUUAAAAAGACACUUAAUGCUAUCAGAAUAAAGUCUGAUUUAUUCCCAUUCUUUAAGCCGGAACGACAGCUUGGACCCAUUAAGUUUUAAUCAUCCCCAAAUCCUUUGUGAUUUAAAGGUGCAAUUAGAUUUUCAUAGUUUUUAAAGUCCCCUAGCACCAAGUAAAUGAUCACACGAUGUCUGCAGGCACCUGCCAGGGAUCAGAACCGGUGACUCAACGAGCCACUGAGCCAACUACUUGGACUUCUGGGCUCAGUUUGUCCCGAAAACAACAAAAAUCUCCUUCAACUGAAGCUUCACUCAUGUAGCUCUUAUUUAUAAGAACAUCUGUUGCCCAUUAACUGUUAACCCUUUGAAGCCUUUAUCCGUUUUUUUGUUUGUUUGUUUGUUUUUUUCAGUUUUCACACUGUUACAUGGAGAUCUAUGGCACAGCAUCAGGCUGAGCUAACCGAACCGUUUACUGUUCAGCUUUAGCUUUGGUACUACAGUUCCCAAGAUGCUUUGGCUAAGGCAGACAGGAAGUGUAAUGCUACCACAGAGUUUUUAGUAAUUGCUGGUUCCUCUUGUGUUCAUAUUUGUUUUCAUUUGGUUUUUAUCAGGAAGCACACACAAUGACGUUCAUCCCAUAGUGAAAAAGAUGCCAUAUACCAGAUUUAGCUGCUAGCUAAUUUACCUCUGCAGUCUGUGGGUACAUAGACCCGAUAUUAAAUGGGGCUAAUGAUCUUUUUUCUUUGGUGCCCAACUUUUAAACCCCCUACAAUCUACUCUUCCUUUGAUGCGGCAGAGUCUAAAAGUGUACAACUGAUAUAAAAAAGUGCCCACAGUCUGCAGCGGCGCUCCGGGACCGGACGGGUAUUCGGGAGUGACGGUGACGCGAGGAGCUGCUCCCUGCUGGUAAUUGAGAAGAAUGCAAGUUUAAGGUUUUCAGACCUGGAAGUGAGACUCUAACUGGCAGAGUCUUCUGCAUGGCCGUGAUGGGCUCACUGGGUGUCAGUCCCUUCAAGGCAAACAGAACGAUUUGGUACUCUGUAUCUGCC